rnacentral:lncRNA from 1 species
UCUUAUUUUAUCUUCAAGCCAAUAGAUAGACUAGAAAGAUUAAUGGUAUUCUAAACAAAGUUUUAACUAUGACCAUGUUUGAUGCAAGAUUAGAUUGAGAUACAAAAUUAUUUGCAGCUUUAUGGGCAUAUUGUACUACAUAUAAAGUCACUACCAAUUCUACACUAUUCCAAUUAGUAUAUGGGUAAGAUGUAAUAUUACCAAUUGAAUUAGAAGUUCAAAGUUUAAAAAUUGCAUUUGAUGAAUGUUGUUGUAAUACAUGAAGUCUUGCUUAAGAAUGCUCCAGGCACCUAGUUGGGGAAGGAAGAAUGGAAAUUGCAACAACAGAAUCCUAAUUCUAAUAGAAUACUAACAAUGCUCUAAUUAGACCAUAAUAAUACUAAACAAGCUUAAUCAAAUUCAAAAAAAUCUCAAAAAAAAUUUAAACCAAUAAUAAGAAUUCUUAAAGAAAUAUUAGAAUGAUCACAAAUAUCACUGAAAUAUAUAUCAAUUCAAUCUUAAUUUAAUACUAGUCAAAAUCCUAUUGAACUUCAUUCAAACUUUAGGCCAAAACUAAUUAAAUCUUAAACCCUAAUAAAAUCCUAAACCCUAAACUAAAUCCUAAAAAAACUUUAAAUCAAACCCCAACCAAAUUCUAAACCAAACGAUAAAUCCUAAAUCAAACCCUACACAAACCUUAAUCAAAUCCUAAACCUUAAACCAAUCCCUAACCAAAUCCUAAAACAAACCCUAAACCCUAAACCAAAUCCUAACCAAAUCCUAAACCAAACCGUAAACCCUAACCAAACCCUAAUCCAAACCCUAAAUCCUAAACCAAAUCCUAAUUAAAUCCUAAAUCAAACCCUAACUAAAUCCUAACCAAAUUCUAAUAAUUCCUACAACAAAUUUAAACCUCAAUAACUAAUAAAUAAAACCAUUGAUCUUAACUCAAAUUUUGUACAUUUCUUAAAAACUAAGUUGAAAACAAUCACAAGAAUUUUGGAAAGGAUCGAAAUAACCAAAUAGACGAUAACCUCAAAAACGUGCUUGGGUAUUGGUCGGCCUCCUUCUCCAAUCUUGAUGCCAAUCUUCCAAAGCCAAUAUCUCUUUUAUGCAUCAUUCGAUUGAUUUCAAAAUUCUCAUACACAUAGAAAAACAAGUCUAAUAUCUUCUCACAUAAGUUUCACUCCAAUCCAACAAGUAGAUUGCAAGAAAUCUUUAAAACCCUCACUAGACCUAAAAUACUACUUUUUGAGACCUUGACCCACUUAAACCUCAAUAUUUCUUAAUUCAUCUAUUAGAUCAAGCUCAAAUUCACAACACAUAUUAAACACAACUAUAGACAUAUACCUACAAAAUUUCAUCCAUAGAUCUAUAACAAAAC